GCGCGCUGUUUCUAGUGCGAAGUUAGUUUUCAUAAACCAAGUUAGGCACUAGCAGGAGCUCCUUUUAUCACAUUAUCUUGUUUUUGCUGUUUCAUUUAAGAUACAGUUAACGAGAUUUUGCAUACGGUAAGGUCUCUAUCAACUAGGACUGGACAAAGAGCAAGCGGUGUAGCAUGGCAAAAAAUGGUUAACGAAACUUUUAAGUAAAUCAAUUUCAUGCAGCUUAAGAAGCAACCAGUUUGAUGAUGCUGAAGAAAGGAUCCUUAGAAUCCAAAAUCUAAAGAACCUUGCAGAAUUCUUUAUUAUGGACGUUGAAACCAAUGGAUUGUGUCGAAAGAGGGCGCAGAUAAUUGAUAUUGCGGUUAGAGAUUUUCAGAAGGAGAAAAUUUUUGUUAUCAAACUGUAGUUAUUCCUGAGGAAGAUGUUCGAAAUUCAGACUUCCACAAUAUUACAACUGACAUGGUAAAUCAUCCACAUAUUCCAAGAUAUUUGCUGGCUGAUUAACAAAUGUGGGGGAAGGGUUGAAUUAUCCGUAGGAAUUAGUUCUGCAGGAUGCAAGGCCUGAUUCCAAUCCUCAAGAAAUAUGUUAGAAGUCCUCAAAUACCUGGAGGGCUGCCAUAUUGGUUGCUCAUAAUGGCAGGUGCUUUGAUUUUCCUUCUCUAAGCCAGGAAUUCAGGAGCUGCUGAAUUGCUAUAUCAUCAGAGUGGCUGUUUCUCGACACACUUCCUGUGGUGCAUGAGUUGAUACCAUCUAAUGGUUAGAGAAUGCUUCCCUUCUUCUCUCCCUGCGCUCCACUUUACAACUCUUUGUUCUUGUGUAACAUUUAAUUUCUGCCAACAGCAUUAAAGCUUCCUUCAGGAAAAUCUGUCAGAGCUUUUCCCGAAUACUAUGAAAUUCCAUUAGUAGGUUAAGCUCGUAAAGCCAUAACAUAAGUGAACUUACUGACAUCAAUACUUGAGAGAAUGGCUUUUUAACUGAAAAUCACUGUCACUGGCCUUUUGGAGAUGGAGAUCUUUCAAAGACUUGGAGAAGGUUAAGUUGAAGCAGAAAAAGAAGCUGCGAAGCUAGCAAAACCCUUCAAUGGGUACUAUAAAUGUCCAUUUGUGCGACAUAAGUUGUUUGUAUGGUUUGUAAUUAUCCCAAAAUAUCGCCUUUGUUUGAUACUCCGUAAUCUCCUCUGGUUCUGAUCUAUUACCUUAAUAAUAUUCUACAGAUAUUAAUGGUUGGCAUGGCA